rnacentral:rRNA from 1 species
UACGUAGGGUGCGAGCGUUGUCCGGAAUUAUUGGGCGUAAAGAGCUCGUAGGCGGUGUGUCACGUCGGCCGUGAAAACCUGCAGCUUAACUGUGGGCGUGCGGUCGAUACGGGCAUCACUGGAGUUCGGCAGGGGAGACUGGAAUUCCAGGUGUAGCGGUGAAAUGCGUAGAUAUCUGGAGGAAUACCGGUGGCGAAGGCGGCAUCCUGGACCGACAUUGACGCUGAUGAGCGAAAGCUAGGGGAGCAAACGGG